GGGGCUGUAGCUCAGUUGGCAGAGCACUUGCCUAACACGUGCAAGGCCAUGGGUUCAAUCCUCAGCAUCACCA
rnacentral:tRNA from 1 species